rnacentral:rRNA from 1 species
AUGCACGCUGGCGGCGUGCCUAAUACCUGCCAGUCGAGCGCACAGACGAGGAGCUUGCUCCUCUGACGUUAGCGGCGGACGGGUGAGUAACACGUGGAUAACCUACCUAUAAGACUGGGAUAACUUCGGGAAACCGGAGCUAAUACCGGAUAAUAUAUUGAACCGCAUGGUUCAAUAGUGAAAGACGGUUUUGCUGUCACUUAUAGAUGGAUCCGCGCCGCAUUAGCUAGUUGGUAAGGUAACGGCUUACCAAGGCAACGAUGCGUAGCCGACCUGAGAGGGUGAUCGGCCACACUGGAACUGAGACACGGUCCAGACUCCUACGGGAGGCAGCAGUAGGGAAUCUUCCGCAAUGGGCGAAAGCCUGACGGAGCAACGCCGCGUGAGUGAUGAAGGUCUUCGGAUCGUAAAACUCUGUUAUUAGGGAAGAACAAAUGUGUAAGUAACUAUGCACGUCUUGACGGUACCUAAUCAGAAAGCCACGGCUAACUACGUG